UACGGAGGAUCCAAGCGUUAUCCGGAUUCAUUGGGUUUAAAGGGUGCGUAGGCGGAACGAUAAGUCAGUGGUGAAAUCCUGCAGCUUAACUGCAGAACUGCCAUUGAUACUGUCAAUCUUGAGUAUAUUUGAUGUGGGCGGAAUGUGUCAUGUAGCGGUGAAAUGCUUAGAUAUGACACAGAACACCGAUUGCGAAGGCAGCUCACAAAACUAUAACUGACGCUGAGGCACGAAAGCGUGGGUAGUCAAACAGG
rnacentral:rRNA from 1 species